rnacentral:rRNA from 1 species
UACGUAGGGGGCAAGCGUUGUCCGGAUUUAUUGGGCGUAAAGAGCGUGUAGGCGGUUUGGUAGGUCCGCUGUGAAAACUCGAGGCUCAACCUCGAGACGCCGGUGGAAACCAUCAGACUAGAGUCCGGAAGAGGAGAGUGGAAUUCCUGGUGUAGCGGUGAAAUGCGUAGAUAUCUGGAAGAACACCAAUGGCGAAGGCAAUGUUCUGGCUCGUUUCUGACGCUCAGGUGCGAAAGCCAGGGGAGCGAACGGG